rnacentral:rRNA from 1 species
GAUGAACGCUGGCGGCGUGCCUAAUACAUGCAAGUCGAGCGAACGGACGAGAAGCUUGCUUCUCUGAUGUUAGCGGCGGACGUGUGAGUAACACGUGGAUAACCUACCUAUAAGACUGGGAGAACUUCGGGAAACCGGAGCUAAUACCGGAUAAUAUUUUGAACCGCAUGGUUCAAAAGUGAAAGACGGUCUUGCUGUCACUUAUAGAUGGAUCCGCGCUGCAUUAGCUAGUUGGUAAGGUAACGGCUUACCAAGGCAACGAUGCAUAGCCGACCUGAGAGGGUGAUCAGCCACACUGUGACUGAGACACGGUCCAGACUCCUACGGGAGGCAGCAGUAGGGAAUCUUCCACAAUGGGCGAAAGCCUGACGGAGCAACGCCGCGUGAGUGAUGAAGGUCUUCGGGUCGUAAACCUCUGUUAUUAGGGAAGAACAUGUGUGUACGUAACUGUGCACAUCAUGACGGUACCUAAUCAGAAAGCCACGGCUAACUACGUG